UAGGAAGUUUUGCUACGUCUCCUGCCAGUCAGUACUUCGGGCUGAAAUAUCCCACGGACUAGAGGAAGAGGAGGAUAUUCUUCAUCUUUGUGACUCGGGUCUAUUGCGCACAUUCUUCAGAACACCGUUCGAGGCUUCCAAGCAACACAACACGGACUUUACCGUCAUAAAAACUUUGCAGCCCUUGGACAGAGGGGCGAGUUUUCACGGUGUAUUUGGUGGACUUCAGCAAAACCUGGUUUCAAAUGAAGUAAAUGUGAAUCCACCGCACCAGUCGUCGAAGCUCUCCGCGUUUUCUUGGGUCUGAGGAACUGCUAGCCUGAGAUGGAGAGCAGUCGCUCUCAUCAGCAGCAGUCCCUGAUGUCGUGUAGUGGUGCGAGGGUGAGACAAUCAAACCUCUGUGGAGGUGGAUGUAACAGCAUGCUCUGGGAUGGCACAGCCAUGGACUCAGCUGCCACCGAGGCCACAGUCAAAGAUUUACUGGAAGACGACGAUUUUCCUCUGAACUUUAUAAUAAAUUCAGCAGGGUAAUGAUAGGUGUCGGAGCCUGCUGUAAGUCGGAGAAGAUAACUGUCAGUGAUGGCUGGCCAUUUGCCUAUUUAAGAGAACUCUGUACACACCGACAUUACUCUUCUUAAACCUAUCAUUCCCCAUCAUUACUCUCCCCUACAUCAAUCCACCCCAUCUAUAUCUCUUCCACAGUCCUCCUUCCUCUGCUUUUCCUUCCCAUCUGUUUUCCAUCCCUCUCUCCCUCCCUCCGUGUCCUUCCCCGUUUCUCUCCAAGUAGUGCGAUCAGUCCUCAUCGGGGCUAUCGGCCAGGCUCAUCAUGCAAAGUGCCGCUGGCUGCAACUGAAUUCCUCUCUGCGGGCCUGCAGCGAGAGCCUGGGGACGGGGCGGAGGAUACAUCUGGCGUGACACUAAUGUACUGACUCGGUGCUCGGCGCUCUACGUGGCGGCCCCAGAACAAGCACGCGUGGACCCCGGGAAAUCAACUUUACACACCGUUGACUGCGUCCGUUCAUAAACAAACGCAAGAUGCAAUUGGACUCCGGUCUCCGGAGACUCCUAAAUCUUCAAGUGAAUGUACACUGGGAGAGUCAACCAUGUGCUGUGACUCCCCUGCCGUCUCCUCUUAUGUUCACAGAGAAAUCUAGAUGACAGCCCAUUUUCCAGCGAGCAUAUGGAACACAAAAACACCAUCAACCCUCUGGUUACCCGUUUGCGGCCAAGAUCAAAUUUGCUUCCAACAGCUUCUUGUGGUUGCCUCCCUGUCACUGAGGGUUUUCUUUUUUUCUCUCCUCUCCCUCACAUUACUGUAAAUUGCCUCCUUUGUGUAACAUACAGUGCGAGACAGGGAUUCUUACAAACACGUUCGCACACACACGUUGACACGUUCGGAGGGGGAUUUUUAUGGGGAUAGGAAGAGUACUGCAGCUGUUGUCCUAACGAUGAUAAAUGGCGAAGAGACAGGUUAAAACAGUUCGGUUGCCGUUCUAAGGCGUCAUCAAUUGUUCCCUUGAGCAGAACGACGAUAAUCCUUUUAAUGGCUCAAUCUUCAUCAACUUCACAGGCAAAACGUGCACAUGCGCCGGGAUCCUUCGCAAACUGCCUCCCCAGAAUAUUGCCGUUUUGUCCUCUUCCACAGGCUUUGAUUCUGAAGCUGAUUAUGCAACUUCCUCUUGUCUUCAUGUUUACAUCCAUGAUGCCAAGGAUGUAUUCUCACCAUCUCCUUCUGUUUCCUCUUUUUUCAAAUUCAUGUUUACAGAUUAUUGCCUUCAAAAAUCCCUUCAUACAUGUGUUUCUUUUAAGAAAUGUAGUUAUUUCAAAUGUCUUAUGUUAGGUAACAUCCAUCCAGGUAUUGUCUUUACCAGAUAUUUGUAUUAAAUGAGAUGCAUGUUAGC